rnacentral:lncRNA from 1 species
CCGGUUGUUACUUCAGUAGCUUCCGCAAGUGUCGAAACUCCAGGAUCAACGGGAAGUUUCUUAUCAGCCAAUAUGCACGGAGCAGCGGAAGCCUCUUCAGCUCACCUUGGGUCAAUGUAUUCUCGCGUAGGUGUUUCAAGUCAUGCUUAUGAAUGGACUUUCAAUAUGAAUCAUUCUCCACAUGUACCAAUUAAAACCGAAGUAACCUCGGGAGUAAACCAUCUUUCUUAUCCUACAUCUUGUUGGGAUGUUCAUCCAGCAGCAUCGGCAGCGUCAGGUUCGUGGCUACAUGACAUGUCGGGAGCAUCCAGUCUUCACUCAGCAGCUGCAUCUUUAGGAUCAACCAAUUACGGAAGUUCAGCUGAUUACGGUCUCGGGUCAACCCU